GGGCAUAUGGUGUAGCUGGUUAUCACGCCCGCUUUGCAUGCCUACAAUCUUCUGCAGUGUUUGACGAUGCGGGUGGUCCCCGGUUCAAUUCCGGGUGUGUCCA